rnacentral:rRNA from 1 species
ACACUUACUUGGAUAACUGUGGUAAUUCUAGAGCUAAUACAUGCACCACGUCUCUGACCGCAAGGGAAGAGCGCUUUUAUUAGUUCAAAACCGGUCGGGCCUCGGUCCGUCACCCCACCGUGUUGAAUCUGAAUAACUUGUCGCUGAGCGCACGGUCUCCGCACCGGCGCCGCCUCUUUCAAGUGUCUGCCUUAUCAGCUUUCGAUUGUAGGUUAUACGCCUACAAUGGCUAUAACGGGUAACGGGGAAUCAGGGUUCGAUUCCGGAGAGGGAGCCUGAGAAACGGCUACCACAUCUAAGGAAGGCAGCAGGCACGCAAAUUACCCACUCCCGGCACGGGGAGGUAGUGACGAAAAAUAACGAUGCGAGACUCAUCCGAGGCCUCGCAAUCGGAAUGAGUACACUUUAAAUCCUUUAACGAGGAUCUAUUGGAGGGCAAGUCUGGUGCCAGCAGCCGCGGUAAUUCCAGCUCCAAUAGCGUAUAUUAAAGUUGUUGCGGUUAAAAAGCUCGUAGUUGGAUUUCAGUUCUGGACUGACGGUUCACCGCCCGGUGCACACUGUCACGCUCCGAACAGCCACAACAGCCCGCUGGCUCGCACGGGGUGCUCUUCAUCGAGUGUCCCGCGUGGCCGGCAGAGUUUACUUUGAAAAAAUUAGAGUGCUCAAAGCAGGCUACACUUACGGCCUGAAUGCCUAUGCAUGGAAUAAUGGAAUAGGACCUCGGUUCUAUUUUGUCGGUUUUCUGAACCCGAGGUAAUGACUAAUAGGAACAGGCGGGGGCAUUCGUAUUGCGACGCUAGAGGUGAAAUUCUUGGACCGUCGCAAGACGAACUACUGCGAAAGCAUUUGCCAAGGAUGUUUUCAUUAAUCAAGAACGAAAGUUAGAGGUUCGAAGGCGAUCAGAUACCGCCCUAGUUCUAACCAUAAACGAUGCUGACCAGCGAUCCGCCGGCGUUAUUCCCAUGACCCGGCGGGCAGCUUCCGGGAAACCAAAGUCUUUGGGUUCCGGGGGAAGUAUGGUUGCAAAGCUGAAACUUAAAGGAAUUGACGGAAGGGCACCACCAGGAGU